AACGAACGCUGGCGGCAUGCCUAACACAUGCAAGUCGAACGAGACCUUCGGGUCUAGUGGCGCACGGGUGCGUAACGCGUGGGAACCUGCCCUUAGGUUCGGAAUAACUCCCCGAAAGGGGUGCUAAUACCGGAUAAUGUCUUCGGACCAAAGAUUUAUCGCCUUUGGAUGGGCCCGCGUUGGAUUAGCUAGUUGGUAGGGUAAAAGCCUACCAAGGCGACGAUCCAUAGCUGGUCUGAGAGGAUGAUCAGCCACACUGGGACUGAGACACGGCCCAGACUCCUACGGGAGGGAAGAAGUGGGAAUAUUGGACAAUGGGCGAAAGCCUGAUCCAGCAAUGCCGCGUGAGUGAUGAAGGCCUUAGGGUUGUAAAGCUCUUUUACCCGGGAUGAUAAUGACAGUACCGGGAGAAUAAGCUCCGGCUAACUCCGUG
rnacentral:rRNA from 1 species